rnacentral:rRNA from 1 species
GGAUGCGAUCAUACCAGCACCAAAGAACCGGAUCCCAUCAGAACUCUGAAGUUAAGCGUGCUUGGGCGAGAGUAGUACUAGGAUGGGUGACCUCCUGGGAGGUCCUCGUGUUGCAUUCC